GACGAACGCUGGCGGCGUGCUUAACACAUGCAAGUCAAGGAGAAAGCUUCCUUCGGGGAGUUAUUAAACUGGCGCACGGGUGAGGAAUAUAUAAGCAAUCUACCCAUAGGUUCGGAAUAACGUCGAGAAAUCGGCGCUAAUACCGUAUAACGUAACAACAUCGCAUGAUGAUGUUAUUAAAGCUCUUGAAGCGCCCAUGGAUGAGCUUGUAACUGAUUAGUUUGUUGGUGAGGUAAUGGCUCACCAAGACUACGAUCAGUAGCUGGUCUGAGAGGAUGAUCAGCCACAUUGGAACUGAGACACGGUCCAG
rnacentral:rRNA from 1 species